GACGAACGCUGGCGGCGUGCUUAACACAUGCAAGUCGAACGCUGAAGCUCAGCUUUUGUUGGGUGGAUGAGUGGCGAACGGGUGAGUAACACGUGAGUAACCUGCCCCCUUCUUUGGGAUAACGCCCGGAAACGGGUGCUAAUACUGGAUAUUCACUGGUCUUCGCAUGGGGGUUGGUGGAAAGGGUUUUUCUGGUGGGGGAUGGGCUCGCGGCCUAUCAGCUUGUUGGUGGGGUGAUGGCCUACCAAGGCUUUGACGGGUAGCCGGCCUGAGAGGGUGACCGGUCACAUUGGGACUGAGAUACGGCCCAGACUCCUACGGGAGGCAGCAGUGGGGAAUAUUGCACAAUGGGCGCAAGCCUGAUGCAGCGACGCCGCGUGAGGGAUGGAGGCCUUCGGGUUGUGAACCUCUUUCGCUCAUGGUCAAGCCGCAACAAUGGUUGUGGUGAGGGUAGUGGGUAGAGAAGCGCCGGCUAACUACGUG
rnacentral:rRNA from 1 species